rnacentral:rRNA from 1 species
GACAGAGGGGGCAAGCGUUGCUCGGAAUUACUGGGCGUAAAGGGCGCGUAGGCGGAAUGGCAAGUCGGUCGUGAAAUCCUUCGGCUCAACCGAAGAACGUCGAUCGAAACUGCCGUUCUUGAGGAUUGCAGAGGAGACUGGAAUUCCCGGUGUAGCGGUGAAAUGUGUAGAGAUCAGGAAGAACACCCGUGGCUAAGGCGGCUCUCUAGUACGGUACUGACGCUGAGACGCGAAAGCGUGGGGAGCGAACAGG